CCUGUAGAGAAAGCUAUUUGUAAAUUAAAAUAUCUAUAAAGCUAUAGCCUAAUGGCUACACUAAUCAUAUACAUUAUUUUAGUGCAAUGCUACUUAAUAUAGACUUGAGAUAGACCAUAGCUAUAGUACUGUACUGACAGUUACUGUUGUAUAUGUAACCAGCUUCAAGUUUUGGUUCAGGAGGCAGACACCCUCUCCACAUUCAAGAGUAGGCUUAAAACGUUCCUCUUUGAUAAAGGUUAUAGUUAGGGCUGGAUCAGGUGAGUCCUGAACCAUCCCUUAGUUAUGCUGCUAUAGGCCUAGAAUAUCGUGGGAUUUCCCAUGAUGCACUGAGCUCCUCUCAUCCUCUCCCUCUCUUUCUGCACACAUUCAUGUCCCAUUAAUGCAUGUUACUAACUUCACUUCUUCCCCGGAGUUUUUGUGCUUUCUCGUCUCACAGGUUCUCAUGGAUCCUGGUGGAGCUUCCUGCCAUGGUCCUGCUUGACUCCAACUGCUAAUAUUACUGAUAUUAUUGUUAUUAUUAUUAUCAUUAUUAUUAUUAUUUCUACAGUUACUAUUAUUACUAUAGUCACUGCUCAGUCGCCAGGUGCUUGCUCAUGGUGGGAACUGUUGGGUCUCUGUCUCCUUUUUCUAAACAAAAUAGUAAAGAAAAGUAUAAAAAAGUAAGGUAUAAAAUGACCAACCCUCUGUAAUUUUUUUGCCCUUGUUGCUGUCUGCAUAGAGCUUCUCUCUCCCACAUUUGUUGCUUCAGUGGAGCUUUUGGCCAAGUCACCUGACACACACAGAGUUCAGCAGAGUGAAGAGGCAGACAGCAAAGAGAGUUGACCAUGGCUGUGUCAUGCAUGAAAGCUUCAAGAGUACAAACAGAUUGUCGCACAGCUGUUUUUACUCACUGACAUAAAACAAAGGAUUGGAUUGGAUCUGCAAAAAAUGCCUUGAUUCCUUUGCCUUGAUGAUCUUUGAGAUUGCAUCAGGGCAUCCCUAGGGUUCCUAACUGCCCAUUUCCUGCCAUGGUAUGAAAAGAAGAACCGUGCCUUCGGGAGUAACAUAAUUUUUAUGCAAGACAACGUACCAUCCCAUGCUGCAGAAAAAUCUAUUGAGGCCUUGGCUGCUAUGGGCAUAAAGGGAGAAAAAAUCAUGGUGUGGCCACCAUCAUCCCCUGACCUCAACCCUAUUGAGAACCUGUGGAGCAUCCUUAAAAGAUCAGUGAAGAGUUCCAUCGGAUCGCCAACAAGAACCUAAUAGACAACUUCAGAGCAUCCAUUAAUCAGCACAUUCCAAGGCUCCUUAGACUUUAUCAGGCUAGGAGAACAGCUUUUCCACCUGAGAUGGAUCAACUCCUUGACCGACUGGAUGAGGAGGUGAAUUUUUGACGUAAUGAUCUCAUUAUAUUCUUCUAUUAAAGGAAUUCUUGGAUUUUUUUAAAUAUAUAUAUAUAUGGAUCCAAUAUCAGAUGUUGCUCAUAGUGACAAACCCUCAGAAUAAACCCACUGUACACUACCUAAGGGACAGACAAAGAUGGUGACUAGGUGGUCCUUUUCAUUUAAGGAGUUUAUGAAGACCAAAGGAUUUAACAGGUGUUUGUUGGAUGUGGAAGAAUAAAGUUGUUUGCAUAUUUACUCUGAGCUUUCUACAUGAUAGUGCCAUAAUGUCAUAAUGGUUCUUCCAGCCUUUUGUGUUUUAGACAUCUAACAUCACAGCACAUCGACAGACUGCAGCCUUGAAGGGUCUUCCCUUGUAUCUCUGUGACAGUCAUGAGAAGCUUUUCAGGAACGGUCUUGUGAGUGACUUGUUUGUAGAAACUGAAAAUAUAUACAGUGUGAGAAAUAGACUCCUAAGGUGUGAUUAAUGCUGUACUUGACUCUGACUUCAACCUUUACCUUCCUGCCCUUUUGUCCCAUUCUUGACUGUUUUCCAUUUUCUCAUAUUUCGCAUUCUUUGUCUGCCCCAGUGCCCAAAGUUGUAUUUUGCUGCCAAUGGCAUGAUAUAACUGAUGUCAUAAAUAUGAGGAUUACAUUUUUCUGGGUAUGAGAUGGAAAUGUUUAAUAUGUCAAACAAAAAAUGUAUACAAUAUUUUGGAUCAUUUUAGAUGAAAGCUUAUUCUGAGUCACAGAAUUUAAUGAUAAAUGUCUUUCAGUUUGAUUUACUAUUGUAUUGGUUAUUUGCUUUCUGUCAUCACAAUGCAACUGAUUCAGAAGAGGAGCAGACGAAGGGCCUCACUGGAUGUCGCUGUGAUUGUAGAAGAAGCCAUCAUCCUUCAGGAUCUCCCUGACCUGCCGACAGCUUUUGCGUACCUUUUUGGGCUGAUCUAUACUUUGAACCUCCAGUACCCAAAAGAACUGAGGUACACUUUUGAAACCAUUCAGAAGGUUUUCAUGGAACUUGGGACAGAUUUCUCUGCAACGGUGAGAUCCCUCAAAAACAAACUCUUUUUUGUUUUUUUACAAAUUCAGUGAAUCCAGCAAGUAAGCUGAGAACAUUGGUACAUUCUGAGACAGUUGCGAAUUGCACGUUCUUGUUGCCAUUUGCCAGAGAUGAAUCUUCUACAUCUUGUACUUUUACUCUCUUCCCAUUUUCUCUAUUUUUCUCAAGUUCCCUCUCUCCACUUCUCUCUCUCCCCCUUUCCCCUCUCUUCUCUCAUUUCUUUCCAUCUGAUCUCCUCUCAUUGUCACCCAACUAGUAACUUUCUUUCUUCUCACUGAAUUCACUUUAGAGAGAUGGAUCUAUCCACCUGGCGUCAAACCAAAAAGUGACAAGUACCACGCCCCUUUCCACGCCCCUUUCCACGCCUCUUUCCCACGCCUCCCUACUGUCCCAGGUCAAAAAGGUCAAAUUGGUCAAUCAUAAUCAGACACUUCAAAGGAGCGCCAUUAACAAUCAUUUAUAACAUGUCAAGAUAUCUUAAAGAAAACUGAAUGAAACAUUACCAGGGAGUAAGGACACCAGCACCCAGAAUCACACAUACAGUCACAGUACACACCUGCUAAUUGUUAGCUCGCUAGCUCCAUUGUUUACAAAGCCCAUUUCCCGCGGUUAUAAAUAGCCCGGCUUCACACAUCAAAAAUUCCACAACAGACUCAUCACAGCUUCAAUACACCACUGUACAUUUCAGGAGGAAACAGUUUGUAAUUUUUUUUAUUGACUACCAACCUGGAAAACAGAAUCACAGCGUGAAUGAGUGAAAGAGCGAACCGCCUUCUUCGUCUCCAAAUCUCCAUCUGAGAGAAGAGGGAGGUGCCUCUCACCUGGGCACCGUGGUGCAACGAUCCCCACACUUUGGUUCCGCUUUCUUUUAUUUCCCCCUACAUUAAUUUUGUCUUUCACAAUAAAAUUGGAAUUAUAUUAAA